AAGGGUGUUUCAUGAGUGUUAUGUAGUGUAUAAAUAGAGACGUCUUACUCCAUUCGAUACUUUGAUCCUGUUUGGAAGAGAAGCAUCAAGAUGAAGGCUGCUGUUAUUCUUGCUGUUCUUGCUGCGGUGCUCUGCGCCAGCACUGCCAACUGUGAGUGCAUUUGUCCCCUCAUCCUGAGCCCUGUCUGUGACACUGUCGGUAACUACUACGACAAUGUAUGCCAGUUGAACUGCGUUGAGAAUGCCGUCCUGGCUUCAGAGACCACCUACAGCGUCAGUGGCAACUCUUGUGUUGCUGCCAAGUAGAUGACCUUCAUCUUUGACCACAUGGAACGUCCCCGACCGAAGUACAUGUUACUUUUUCAAUAAAAUAUGGAAUCA